GAUGAACGCUAGCUACAGGCUUAACACAUGCAAGUCGCAGGGUAACGCGAGGGAAGCUUGCUUCCCUUGACGACGACUGGCGCACGGGUGAGUAACGCGUAUCCAACCUUCCCAUGACCACGGGAUAACCCGUUGAAAGACGGACUAAUACCGUAUGACGUCGUUUGCUGACAUCAAAUAACGAUUAAAGGUUUGGCGGUGAUGGAUGGGGAUGCGUCUGAUUAGCUUGUUGGCGGGGUAACGGCCCCCUAGGCGACGAUUCGUACGAGUCUUUAUUGGAAGGUCCUUUAUUUUACACUCCGACCAAUG
rnacentral:rRNA from 1 species